AGGAUGAACGCUGGCGGCGUGCCUAACACAUGCAAGUCGAACGUCCUGUCUCGCAAGAGGCAGGGAGUGGCGGACGGGUGAGUACCACGUGGGUCAUCUACCGUGAGGUGAGGAAUACCGGCGAGAAAUCGCCGACAAGACCGCAUAGGCUCGAUGCAAGUCGAGCAAAGCUCUUUCGAGAGAGGGAGCGCCACACGAGGAGCCUGCGCCCGAUUAGCUAGCUGGUGGAGUAAUGGUUCACCAGGGCGACGAUCGGUAGCUGGUCUGAGAGGACGAUCAGCCACACUGGGAUUGAGAACGGCCCAGACUCCUACGGGGGGCAGCAGUGAGGAAUUUUCGCAAUGGGGGCAACCCUGAACGAGCAACGCCGCGUGCAGGAAGAAGGUUUUCGGAUCGUAAACUGCUUUUCUCGGGGAAGAGAACGGACGGUACCCGAGGAAUCAGCCCGGCUAACUACGUGCCAGCAGCCGC
rnacentral:rRNA from 1 species